CCUAGGGGGGCUGCAGUGGGGAAUAUUGGACAAUGGGCGAAAGCCUGAUCCAGCCAUGCCGCGUGUGUGAAGAAGGCCUUCGGGUUGUAAAGCACUUUCAGUGGGGAAGAAAGCCUUGGGGCUAAUACCCUCGAGGAAGGACAUCACCCACAGAAGAAGCACCGGCUAACUCCGUGCCAGCAGCCGCGGUAAUACGGAGGGUGCGAGCGUUAAUCGGAAUUACUGGGCGUAAAGCGCGCGUAGGCGGUCUGAUAAGCCGGUUGUGAAAGCCCCGGGCUCAACCUGGGAACGGCAUCCGGAACUGUCAGGCUAGAGUGCAGGAGAGGAAGGUAGAAUUCCCGGUGUAGCGGUGAAAUGCGUAGAGAUCGGGAGGAAUACCAGUGGCGAAGGCGGCCUUCUGGACUGACACUGACGCUGAGGUGCGAAAGCGUGGGUAGCAAACAGGAUUAGAUACCCUGGUAGUC
rnacentral:rRNA from 1 species